UGACAGCUUAUGAUUUAUCUGUUGUGCCAAG
rnacentral:piRNA from 1 species